GUUGAAUCUAAUCUGCGUUGUAUCCUGGUUGCGGGCUUUACUGAACAAGCUAGCACGAGGUGUGUUAAUUAAGAAGAACCAGUAUUCAGUUUGCUUAAUAUUUAUCGAACGAACCCUUACAUGCUGGAAAAUGUAGUCCAUAUAUAUAUAGUUCUUUCAUCUGAAGAUGGCAUGGCGAAGGAAAGAGUGAAGGUCCAGAGCCAGCAGGAGUGCUAGCUGCUUCUUGUUGCCGAAAAGAAUGGUUCAGAAACUCGAUGAAGGAGCAGUGCUUCUCGCAUUAGGAGCAGCAGCUGGGAUGAAUCGCGCGUCUGACGUUCUGAUCCAAAGUACUGAACCUUAUUACAU